AUUUCAGGGGGAAAGAGGAAGACACCAGGAAGUUUUUCACCAGCCAGAGUAUCGCACUCCUACCAAGUGCAUCUCUGCGAAGACAAAACCCCAUAAUGAAAGAAACAUUCUGAGGAUGUUUGCUGAGCUCCAUAAUUGAGAGAAAGAAGUUGGACAAAGACACACCCACAGGGAAAGCACCAUGAGAAGAUGACGGCAGAGAUCUGGGCGACGCGUCUACAAGCCAAGCGACACCAAAGGUGGCCAGCAGCCCAUGUGAAGCUGGAGGAGAGGCCUCGAAUAAAUGCUCCCUUACAGCGUUCAGGGGGAACUGACCCUGUCCACACCUUGACCUUGAACUUCUGGGCUCCAGAACUGUGAGACAGCAUGUUCUGUUGUUGAAGGAGCAGCGUGGCUAGAGGAAUUCCUGCAGCUUAGAUUUCGCUGGCACUGUUACCACUCCCAGAGAGGAGCGGCUGGAGUUCACGGCUGGUUCCUGACAAACUUCCUAAUUAAUCUGCUAAAGAUCAGAGGAGGACUAAUAGGAGCUGAAGACUGUGUGCGAGACCACCCCUCCGCCCUCUCCCUUUGUGUGUGCACGUGUGUGUGUGUGUGUGUGUGAGCGCGUGCGCGCAUGUGGUGCUGAGCUUGGCGGGAGAGAGAUGGCCUCACCAGCGACAAAGCAUUCCUGCUGCUGUUGCUGCCACCUACCUUCCCUGCUUUGGGAGGAUACAUUUUCUCCUCUUGCUUAGAAGUUUCAGGGAGUCACCCAAGCCUUCUUCUCCCAGAUACAACGGUGGAAUAAAAUAUCUUCCAGCCAACAUAUUUUUUGGAGACGGAAUCUCACUCUGUCACCUGGUUGAAGUGCAGCAGCGCGAUCAUGGCUCACUGCAACCUCUGCCUCCCGGUUUCAAGUGAUUCUCCUGCCUCCGCCUCCCGAGUAGCUGGGAUUACAGGCAUGUGCCACCCACCACGCCUGGGUAAUUUUUGUAUUUUUACUAGAGACAGGGUUUCACUAUGUGGGCUGGGCUGGUCUCAAACUCCUGACCUCUGGUGAUCUGCCCACUUCGGCCUCUCAAAGUGCUGGGAUUACAGGCAUGAGCCCCCGCACCCGGUUGCAACCAACUUUUUUGUGGAAUAUAGGAUCUUGAUGUUUGGAUGCCUGAAGGCAGAAGCUGUUGCACAUGGAAUGGAUUAAAGUUUUCCCCUCUGCAACCAAAAAUCCUUGGGGUCCCAGGAGCAAAAGAUGCUCCAUGGCACAGGACAAUUCAAGAAGGCCCGAGGUGAUAUUGAAGACUGCAGAGACAUCCAGCUCAGUUGUGUCUCCGGAGGUGUCCAGACUUUGCAGACAGACGUUGCACAUAAAGAGCUGAAAAACUGAGGAAGCUGAGCUGGAGAAGGAAGUCACUUCUACUCAGACUUGACCUGCGUCUGAUGCUAUGGGGCCUCUUAGGGUUACCUCAUGCUUCAUGCACCCCUUUCUCUGUUCUUCAGCAGAAGGCAGGGUGUAGGGAAGCGGGACUGUGCCUCCUUUCUCCCUGCCAGGCCUGACUCUCCAGGCCAAGAGACACCAUUAAGGAGUAUAAUUUGUUGAUCCAGGCUCUCCUUGCGUUUCAGUGCAGAGUGGCAUCGUUUUCUUUAUGACCUCGUAAAGUCACAGCCGAGAGGCCGAUUUGGAAAACAAACUGCCUCAGGUUGACAGAUAAUUAGAUACAGGGGACAUAUUAUAUGCCUUUGCAUAUAAAUGUGCUCCGAGGCGUGUUGGUUCAUCUGAAGUUGAGGUUAAAGGCGCGCCAGCAGGAUCUUGGCAGUGGACUGCCACGGGAGCUCUGGGGAAAAAGGACCAGUUGGACUCCAGUACCUCCUGAGAGACCACCACCCUCCAUGCCUCCAGCUCAUGCCCAGCUCUGAGUCAGACGGACUCUUCCUGUUGUACUGCGAGGUUCUGCAAACCUUGAAGGGCAAACACAGUGAGGGUCUCUGACUUGCUGUGUGGACAGCCCACUCUCUGACAGCCCAGAUCAUCUGAAGCUAUCCCUGGGCUGGGAGCUGGAAGCCAUUCUUGUGAACCACUCCUUAUACCUUGAGCGAAGCCUCUUUGGGUCCCAGAAGUCUGAAGCUCCAGCUGCCUGGCAAGACUGAGUCUAGAUGAUUUCUUGGGUACCAGUAGUUUGGCAUUUAAAAAUACUGGAUUAACUGCAGUGUAAACUUAGAUUGCAUUUCAGAUUGUAAACAAUAACCCCCGUGCUUCAUGUGAUGUUAAAUCAGAAAUGAGCUAUUAGCCAAGCUAGUCCUCUUAUGAAUGAGCCCCUAACCCUGAUCCAGGGAUCGUUGAAUGAAAAUCAUCAAAAUGAUUUAUCUUCACUUUACCUAUUGUCUCACAAGAAUCUCAUCACUCAGGGAAAAGGAGGGUGUUCUUCAGGGAACGGAGGGCAUGAGGAAGGGGGAUUUCCUUAUAUCUCAACUUUCAGAGGGAGCUGAGUUGUAAACAGAUGGAACAAGGUGUGUACGAGAAGCCUCUUAGAUUUAGUCUUUCAUAUCAAGGCUCUUGCUGAAAAUCCUGGCACAGCUGUGAAAUGAGGGGAGCUCUGACACACAGAGACACGCUCCUUGCCUCACCAACCUUCCCAUACACAGUCAUGCGCACAGAGAGCAGGUACCAAUACUGAAAAUGCCCUUCCGGAGUUUCCUCAGCUUAAACCCUUGACAGCAUUAAGUGAGGAAGGAGUUUCCUUGACCUGGGGAAGAAGAACCAACUCAUAAACAUGGAACUGUGCCCACUGCCUUUUCCUUUGCUCUGUGGAUUGGCUGUGGUUCUGCCCUGGCACUCGGAUGUCAAGUUGCUCUGGCUGUUUGGGAGGAAGCCCAGCCUGGGUCAGGUGGUCAUAAGCCAGAGGCCCUGUCCUGUCCCCAGGGUUGGCCUCCCUCUGGGGUCCAGCAUGGCCCCAGUGCUGAGGCUCCCACUGCUGGGGAAUGUGCCCUCUCCUCUCUUUGUUUCCAUACCAAGGGGAUCUGCAGGGUAGAGGGCAAAUUAUUCUUAGCAGAUUGGGGCUAUGGGUAAACCAGAAGGGAUGAGGGAGAGAGGAGAGAGGAGAGGAAAGGGAAGGAGAGGGGAGGGCAGGGGAUAGGUAGAGGAGAGAGACAGCAAGAAAAAAUAGAAAAAAAAAAAAAGGAAAUAAAGGUUGCAUAUACAAAGGGAGAUUAACAAGGAGUAGAAGAAGGGAGGCAGAAGAGGGAGAAACAGAGAAGAGGAACAAAGAAGACAUUUCCAAAAAAGACGUGAGCACACCAGGCAGGAGGGAGAAAAGGAACAAGGAGAAAGGAAGGAAGUGAGACAAGCUGGGGAGAGAAGAGGCAAAGGCAGCCAGGAGCAGGCAUAGGGGAGAGAGGAGUGGGAAGCCCCAGGGGGUACAAGGAAAAAAAUGAGGGAAGCCAGUGGGAGGAAGGUGAGGAAGAGGAGAGGGAACAGGCACUGGGUGGGGAAGAGGCGAGCAGGAGAAAGCCUGUGCUGUGUGGAUUAUUGUGUGUUUGUCAUCUGGAAUGGUAUAAGCUGUAGGUACAGCAGCUCCCGCCCAUGAUUUAUGGUCCCUGUCAGGCAGGGACCGCGCUUUGUCUGCUGUAGCGUGGACGAUGAAUGCUCCGCUGUCAUCCCAGCCUGGCCGGCCUUUCUCUCUCUCUGCUCCCAACGCUGGCUCCCCAUUUCACGCCAGUGAACAUAAGCAAUCUUUUGUAAACCUGACAGUCACACUUGCUUCUUUGGAAACAUAAAGCAGAAAUGUAUGACUCGGCUUUCAUUACCCAAUUUCCUACGCUAUAUAAAAACACUCAGGAAAGACAUGUAAGUGGUCACGAAACCUGGGAAAUUGGAAGUGUCCUGGAGGAAAAAAAAAGGAAGAGUGGGGAGAAGGGGGCUGUAGGGUGGGAGGGAGCCGGUGAGGAGAGGAGACGAUGUGUCUAACUCCACCACAUCCUUCCCAGAAAACGCCGGCUGAUAAACGGGCCAUGCAGACACAUAAUUAUAUUACAUAUCUGAAUAAUAGACAUUUCCUGCCUGAAGUGUUGCUUUUUUUCCUCCUUCUCCUUUUAAC
rnacentral:lncRNA from 1 species